CAGACCCUCUUUCCUCUUAAAUCCUACCCAGACAUUCUCAUCUCUCCUCACAACUCUAGCGAAUUAGCUACAUCCCUCUUCUUAAAAAAAAUCCACCUCCUCCCUCUUUCUCUCUUCCAGACCCUCUGGUUUUCACUCUCGCCAUUAUCAUUUCGUUGUUUUGAUCUUGAAAUGAUGGCGUUUUCUUUCUUAAUUUAUCGGUUUGUGGGUCUCAAAGAAUCAAGGAAGCAUGUAGCUAGUGUUUUAAGUAUUGAAAACGUGUAUGAAAUAGCGAUUGUGAUAUUGGCCUGGUUCACUCAGACAUGGAAAACCUACCCUUAAUUUCUUGCUUCUUUUGCUUGAGUGAAGGGUGGUGUUGUCUUGUUUUGAUUGAGCCGUGCCAAUAUCUCAGUUCUCUUUCAUUUCUCCAAUAAAACCCUAUUAUUAGAUUGCAACUAUAUAAAGCCAACAUCAAAGGAGAGAUCUAUAAAUAUCAUCAUCUGGCGGAAGCUGAACAGCUAGCCAGGAGAGUUUGUUAACUCGAAGUAAAGGCAGGAUCUAAGAUAGCUAAUUGGAAGACUUGCAUUUUCUCUAAUCUCUUGUCUUUUAGUUUCUGUGUUUUUUUGCAUUACAAGACAAGCACAUACGAAACAUCAAACACAAAAUUACACAUUUUUCUUUCUCCUCAUUAAUUAAA